CCAGGGCUGGCAAAUUCCACAUUCAAAAUCCAGGUGUGAACUGGAAUUUUCAAGAAUGACAGCCAGGAGCAUGCUGCCUCAGUACCCCCUGGGGAAAGAUAACUAACCCUCUUCAGUUCCAGUGAUCAAGACUGUCAUGGGAAAAUUAUGCUCUUUAAUGAACUUCAGCUCUAUCAGAUAAUUCAGCUACCGAGAAGGAAGCCACACAGAAGCUAGAGAUGCUGGGAGGAGGGGAGAUUCCUAAUGAGGACUUCAGGGAUCCCAGAUGCAGCCAUGCCUGAUGCUGAUGUGUCCUUGGCUAUUUUACUGCAUAUCCAGUUGAUUAUCUAUAAACUCCUACCCUAAGCCAAUUUAUUUUGAUUUCUGUCCUGACAAGUGAGAGCUCUAAUACUUACACUCUAUCAGGACAAUUGAAAGAAUAGAAGAAGGGAGGGAGGGAAUGGUAGGCUUGGAAAUCAGGACUCCUCCAGGAUGGCUUCAAAACAAACCCUUCUGCUCCUGCAGACCUUCUCUGGUCUGGCCCAUACUCCACAGUGAGACAGAAUCAGACUAGUCUCUGGAGGUAUGAAGGUACACGUAAAGUUUCUUACAAAGCCAAAAAAGAAAUUAUUUGGCUGGUUACUCAGCGUGAUGGUUAAUAUUGAGUGUCAACUUGAUUGGAUUGAAGGAUGCAAAGUAUUGUUCCUGAGUGUGUCUGUGAGUGUUGCCAAAGGAGAUUAACAGUUGAGUCAAUGGACUUGGGAGAGGCAGAACCACCCUCAAUCUGGAUGGGCACAUCUAAUCAGCUGGCAGCAUGGCUAGAAUAAAGCAGCCAGAAGAGAGUAGAAGGACUUGAUUGUUGAGUCUUCUGGCCUUCAUCUUUCUUCCAUGCUCAAUGCUUCCUGCCCUCAAACAUCAGACUCCAAGUUUUUCAGCUUUUGGACUCUUGGACUUAACACGAAUGGUUUGUCAGGGGCUCUCGGGCCUUCGGCCACAGACUGAAGGCUGCAUUGUUGGCUUCCCUACUUUUGAGGUUUUGGGACUCAGACUGGCUUCUCUGCUCCUCAGCUUGGAGAUGGCCGGUUAUGGGACUUCACCUUGUGAUCACUCUUUGGCCCUGCCUGCUCCCAGUUCAAGCUUGAUAAACUAUGAACUUGCAGCUCGUCUUAAUGGGUGGUAGAAGACUGUGCUCCAUUUCUCCUGGGACUUCAUGCUCAUUAGUCACAGACGUCAAUUAAAAGCUUUGUUAGAGAACCAGAGGAAUGUGCCACAGCACAUGUAGAGGCCCGGAAGCCCCUUUCACUUCUAACAUGGAUGAAUGAGUCCCCAUGGCAUGCGAAGCUGCACAUCAAUAGGUCGUGUGCAUCAGCAGACAGGAUCAACAAAAGCAGCGCAAAAAUGUUGAAGUCAGCACUUUCUGGAGCCAGCCCUAUUCAUUCCAACUGAUAAGGAUUUAAACAUUUUCAUUAGCUUUGCUGAUCCCAGUUAUUUAAAAUGACAAACACAUUAUCAUUAUUUUUAAAGCAAGUUACAUAAUCUAGGGUGCAACCCAGGCUUGAUAAUUUUCUAAAAAUGAUUAUUGACCCUUGCAUCCUCCUCCUGCAACCAUGAGGGGUCGAAUUGAGGUUAAUGUUCUGGCAAAUCCCUUAGGAUCCAGACUAACAACUGUUUUGGAAGAGAUUAUUGCCAUUGUAAACCACUGACCAGGGCCUGAGAUGGUAAUUCUUAAUUAAGAAAAUAAAAAGAUUCAGCGUCUCCGCUCUCAUCAUGCAGCUAACAACAGACUCCGCCUCAAUCCAAACACAGAAUAAAAUUCAGCAAAGGAUGGAUUUUAAAAAAUAAUUUGUUGUAGAUACUUAAUCUAAAAUAAUUUGGUGAGGCUUCAGAAAUAACUUUGGGUAUUGAGUAUGAGAAGAAUAUUUGCAAUAUUGUUCUUUUUGUAUGUGUGUGAAUUCUUUGUUUUUAUUCCAAUUGUGUCUUAUUGCUGACUUAUUACUAACAUGUUGCUUCCAAAGAGAAUUUUAGGGCAAAACAUUUCAAAAUU
rnacentral:lncRNA from 1 species